ensembl:lncRNA
GGAUAGCUGUCCUUGUUCCCUGGGAUAGGGAUGGCUGUCCUUGUUCCCCGGGGCAGGGAUGGCUGUCCUUGUUCCCUGGGACAGGGAUGGCUGUCCUUGUUCCCUGGGACAGGGAUGGCUGUCCUUGUUCCUGGGGCUGGGAUGGCUGUCCUUGUUCCCCAGGGCUGGGAUGGCUGUCCUUGUUCCCUGGGGCUGGGAUGGCUGUCCUUGUUCCCUGGGAUAGGGAUGGCUGUCCUUGUUCCCUGGGACAGGGAUGGCUGUCCUUGUUCCCUGGGACAGGGAUGGCUGUCCUUGUUCCCUGGGAUAGGGAUGGCUGUCCUUGUUCCCUGGGACAGGGAUGGCUGUCCUUGUUCCCUGGGACACAGCUCCUUCCGUGGGCCCACACCUGCAUUGUGCAGGGUGGUGUGUCCCCAGGUUCAGCAGUGAGGUGCCCCACAUUUUUGCAGCUUCCUGGCACACGUGGCUCUCCUGAGUGUGUCCCCUCUAUGAGCACAGUGCCCUGUGCAAACGCCUGCCCUGCUGCAAGGCACGUUCCUGCUGGUUCUCAGCUAUUCUUCCUGAGAGCCAGAUGCAUCCCUGCUGGCUUCACCAGUGAAGCUUGGCAUCUCUCUGUGCUCCCCUGCUCUGUGUUCUGCCUUGCCCUGCAGCUCCAGAGUUGAUGGUGAUGGAUUUGUCUGCAGGCAAAGCACUUAUCUCUCUUCUGGUGCACAGCCAGCUGUGGAGCCCGGCUUUUCACAGCCCUAGAGGACAGCUUGGGCCCUGCCUAAAUGUCUCUCCCCCUGGGAAGAAGAGGGAUUGGGGAUACACCCAUCUCCCAAGGGGUUCGAGUCCUCACGCAGGGUUUGGCACCAAGGGGACCAAGGGGACAGGAGCAGAGCUGUGUGCAAGCAGAAAAGCACGACCCCGGCGCCGCCCAAGCUGCAGUAGGGACACAAGUGUCCCUUCAGCUCCGCAAAGCCAGCACGGGGCUUGCAAGGAGCCCCAGGCCUGGCUGGCAGCACGGCUCGGGCACUGUGGGCAGGGUGGCUGCUCCUGCCUGGGCAGGCAGCAGUGGGGUGCUCACCGCAAUCCUCCCAGCGGGCUGGGGAGGUGCAGCGAGGCUCCCUGCCCGAGGCUGUGCUGCUGCUGCCGGCUGUGCCUGCGGGCGGCUGCUGCCCGGCCCUGUCCGCCAGGGCAGCGAGAACAAGGUGUGGAUGGGGCAGGAGCAUCCCCGGGGCUGUCCCCUCCUCACUGACGGCUCCAGUGUGCAGGGAGGGGCUGGCAGCGCCCAGGGACAGCAGGGAAGCCUUGAUCCAGCCGGGAGUGUCCCAGGAGCGAGACCCCCGCCCCGGGGCUGCCCGCAGUGGCCGUGGGUACCGGCGGGGAGGAGGGGACAGAGGCAGCGCUGCCAGCGCCGCUGCUCUCAGCGCCUUGCCGUGCUGUGCUGUCCCCUAGGUCAGGCCGCAGGUUCACACAGCGACGGCAGCACCAACUUCACCGACAGCAUGAAGGAGGAGGCAGCCCGUGGCCUGGCAACCCAGCAGGUGAGUGGGGCAGCGCCGGGAACGGGGCUGGGCACUGUGCCAUGGCCAAAGUGCGCCCCAGCCCCCAGGAAGGCGAUGCUGAGCCUGUGCCUGGAAAACGCGGAGCUGAAGGAGAGGAUGGGUGAAGCCACGUCGCUGCUGGAGAGCGGGGAGCAGGAGGAGCCUGGGCUGGGCUCUCUGACCCCCGAGCCCCGCAGGCUGCAGCGGAGGAGCCGCAGUUCCCCCGGGGAGCGCCCGGCCGGAGGCAGCGGGGAUGGCCCGGGGGUCCCGGCAGAGAGGGGAGCCGUGCCCACCAAACGCCCAGCGCUGGAGGCUCGGUCCCAGGGGGACACGGCCAAGAGACCCUGCCCUGGCAGCCCGGCUGGAGGGGACGGGAGCCGUGUGGAGGGCUCGGCUCCCGGCGGGGGCUGGCCAGGGCUGGGCGCAGAGCUG